rnacentral:rRNA from 1 species
AAGAACGCUGGCGGCAGGCCUAAGACAUGCAAGUCGUACGCGAACGACCUUUCGGGGUUAAGUAGAGUGGCGAACGGGUUAGUAACGCGUGGGAACAUACACAGCACAGGGGGAUAACCAUUGGAAACGAUGGCUAAUACCGCAUACGCCCUAAUGGGGGAAGAUUUAUCGGUGUUGGAUUGGCCCGCGUCAGAUUAGCUAGUUGGUGGGGUAAUGGCUCACCAAGGCGACGAUUUAUAGCUGGUUUGAGAGGAUGAUCAGCAACACUGGAACUGAGACACGGUCCAGACUCCUACGGGAGGCAGCAGUCGGGAAUAUUGUGCAAUGGGGGCAACCCUGACACAGCCAUGCCGCGUGAGUGAAGAAGGCCUUAGGGUUGUAAAGCUCUUUCAGAUGUGAGGAUGAUGACGAUAGCAUCAGAAGAAGCUCCGGCUAACUUCGUGCCAGCAGCCGCGGUAAUACGAAGGGAGCUAGCGUUGUUCGGAAUUACU